rnacentral:piRNA from 1 species
CAGCUUGUGGACUGGUAACUACCUGG